GGAGCAGGGAUAGUGUGUAUCGACGAUGUGCAAAUUUUCCGGUGCACUAUGUUCGAAAGAUUUUCCUGCAAAAUUGAUUCGGGGAAGGUGGGCAGUUGUGUUUCAUAUCCAUCGUUGAUACUUUUCAACAAUCAUCUUCCCCAUAUUG